rnacentral:rRNA from 1 species
GAUGAACGCUAGCGGCAGGCCUAAUACAUGCAAGUCGAGGGGUAGAAGAGGCUUGCUUCUUUGAGACCGGCGCACGGGUGCGUAACGCGUAUGCAACCUACCUUCAUCUGGGGGAUAGCCCGGAGAAACCCGGAUCAAUACCGCAUAAAAUCACAGGAUGGCAUUAUCCAAUGAUCAAACAUUUAUGGGAUGGAGAUGGGCAUGCGUGUCAUUAGCUAGUUGGCGGGGUAACGGCCCACCAAGGCGACGAUGACUAGGGGAUCUGAGAGGAUGGCCCCCCACACUGGUACUGAGACACGGACCAGACUCCUACGGGAGGCAGCAGUAAGGAAUAUUGGUCAAUGGAGGCAACUCUGAACCAGCCAUGCCGCGUGCAGGAAGACUGCCCUAUGGGUUGUAAACUGCUUUUAUUCGGGAAUAAACCUUAUUACGUGUAAUAAGCUGAAUGUACCGAAGGAAUAAGGAUCGGCUAACUCCGUGCCAGCAGCCGCGGUAA